rnacentral:lncRNA from 1 species
AAUUGAAUGUGAUUUUUCCUAUGCUAUUUUUAUACAGAUGUAUCAUCAAAUAGAUAAGUUCCAUUAUUACAGCAAAUAACACAAAAAUUUGGAUAUUUCGCAUGCCUGGGAAACGUUUUUCUGAAACCAUGAAAAAACACUUGGUUCAGUCUGUCUGAACACCGACCAGAUAUGUAUCUAAGAUAUUAAGACGAUUCCUGAAGAAACGCCAAAACGUACACGGAGAAAACGGAAAAUACUAAUUAGAGUGCUUUUUAUUACAUUCAUGCUAUUCUUUUUGUAUAACCAUUGCAAAUCAUAAAGAAUAAGCAUCACCAUCUUUAAGUUUAUACCUUUCAAUGCAUUUCCAAAAUGUAUAUUUUUGCUUGAAUUUUGUGAUGCCAAUGUUACUCUUGCAACUUAGUGAUGUUAUUUCAGUAACAGCACCAUGUUCAACGGCUGCUCCAAGUUUUUGCUAGCUUCAGGGAGAGAAAAUUGUGAUAUACAGCGAUCUUUCUAAUGCUAAAGAAGCAGGAAACGGAGCUGAUUCGGAGAUUCAAGAGCAGAAACAAACUUCAACGUAUCCAUCGAGCUGGUUGUUGAAGCAUUUAAGGCUUGAUCGGGAUUAUUAACAUCAACUGCAAAAGAUGAACCAAACUAUUAGGCAUAACGGAUCAUCCACGAUAAGUUCCGUUUUUUCCAGCCAAAUCAGGAUCAGAAUGCUGUUCGCCAAGAAAUCAUUCAAUGACGGCAACUCCUUGCACAUGCUAGUGAGUAAAGUACAGAGGAAACGAAACGAUGGCGUGCACUUUUCUUCAUAUAUUAUACAUUAAAUACAGCUGGGACAAAUAAACAUGUUUCUCCUUGUU